rnacentral:lncRNA from 7 species
AGAUAUCUAGGUCAGGCACCGAAAGCCGUAGACCGAAAUCAAGGCAACCGCUCCGCACACCUUUCCUUCAUGAGAGUUACAGAGACUACCAAAAUCCUCCACACCUGAAAAAGUACCAGGAGAUCACUGUGAACUGUGCGUGUCACUUUGACAAGUCCUUUUGAACCCAGUGGUCCCCAGACCACCUCUGCCAAGGCAGGACAGCCACCGCCUGUAGGUGAGGCCUGGCUGCCGCCCCCUGUGCUCAUGAGGAUUAACGAACAGCAAGAAAGCAAAUUGCUACAGUUAAAGGAAGAAAACAGCAGGACUAACACGUUUCAGUCGGGGUACUACGCUGAGACUCAGCAAUCUUUAUUCUCUUUGUGAGCAGCAGUUCUUUAAGAGCUUUACACCCAAUAAAAUUUAAACUU